rnacentral:rRNA from 1 species
GUGGGGAAUUUUGGACAAUGGGCGCAAGCCUGAUCCAGCCAUUCCGCGUGCAGGAUGAAGGCCUUCGGGUUGUAAACUGCUUUUGUACGGAACGAAAAGCCUCUGGUUAAUACCCGGGGGUCAUGACGGUACCGUAAGAAUAAGCACCGGCUAACUACGUGCCAGCAGCCGCGGUAAUACGUAGGGUGCGAGCGUUAAUCGGAAUUACUGGGCGUAAAGCGUGCGCAGGCGGUGUUGUAAGACAGUUGUGAAAUCCCCGGGCUCAACCUGGGAACUGCAUCUGUGACUGCAUGGCUGGAGUGCGGCAGAGGGGGAUGGAAUUCCGCGUGUAGCAGUGAAAUGCGUAGAUAUGCGGAGGAACACCGAUGGCGAAGGCAAUCCCCUGGGCCUGCACUGACGCUCAUGCACGAAAGCGUGGGGAGCAAACAGGAUUAGAUACCCGGGUAGUCC